AGUUCACGUCUGGUUGAAGCGGUGCACCUCGCGCUGUUCUCGUGCUGGCGCCUCUGUUUUUUUUUUUUUCGCUCGUGUUGCUUCUUGUCUGCUGUGGUAGUGGUGAAGCCGUUGGAUUUCUACUGCGGCUCUCUCUGUCUCACUUUUUUCUCUCAGACGUUGUGUCUUGACUUGUCUCUCGAACGAAGCUGGGCUGACAUACCAUCAAGAGGAGACGUUUAAUUUCCAAAGAAAAAGAAAAUCAGCAGCGGCGUCUAUCCUCAAACGCACAUCAUCACGACCGGACUGGGGAAGGGGAAGCGUGCAAAGGAGCUGAGCAUUGGUGGUUCAGCGGUCGUUUCCGUUCGAUUGCCCCACCGUGCUGGGCGCCAAUCAUCUCCUCCUACCGUUGCUCGCGCGUGCACACGUUGCUCCACGCUUCCUCGCCCUUGUUUCCUCUCACCUCCUCUGUGUCUGUGCGUGUGUCUUACUUGUUGGUCGCGUACUGGGUAUUCAUCUAUUUUCUUUGUGGUUGUUGACAAGUGAUGCUCUCUGCCGCUGAGGAGUGGGAGCUCGAAUAGAUCGUCUUUGUGCUUCCAUACACACAGAUAAACACACACACACACGCACACGCACACGCAACUUCCCUUUCUGUUUUGCUGUGCAUUUUCCUUUCUCCUUUGUGCUGAUUGCCUCUAUCGCCCCCCCCCCUCCUUCAUUUCCUGUGCGCCUUAGGCAGUUUCUGCUCACCUUGUACCUGUAUUGCUUCAAUCUCUCUGGGUGUGUGCGUGUCGCAUAUAUAUAUAUAUACCACUAAAAGUGUCGGCUGUGUGUCGCCCAUCAGGCGCGUAAGCACACGCGCGCUCUCUCGGUUCUUGCCCUUUCGCGCUCAUCGAGGUCGCUGAUGUGAGUACGUCUUUGAAUACCUUCCUGGAUACAUACUCUGAUACAACUUCACUAGUCGCCAUGACUCAGCCUGCUGCUGCUGCUGCUGCAGAGGUUGCCGCGCAGACGGCGCCGAUCCUUGGCGAGUGUGUCCUCAAACUUUCACGCUCAACCACCUACGAACCACCACUGUACCUUUUCCCAGAGUUGCUGCCGCCGGUACCACAGGGAACACCGCCGCUGCCAGUGUGGGACGCUGUGGCCGAUGCUGUGGACAUCGCUGCUUCGUCGUGGCGCGUGGCAGACGCGACGCAGCUGAUUGCGGCUGGUGUGGCAGCAGCUGGCGCAAGCGGUAUCAAGCCUAGCACCGCAGUGGAGCGCAGGCCGCAGGCGAUGGUGACGCUGACAUCUAUGAUUGCCAAAAACCGUCUGCUGGCGGCAGGCUUGGAUGCAACGGUGCUGGAGAGAGACGCCUUCUCAUCGGCUGCAAUCAUUACUCACUUGGCUGCGCUUCAAGCACGCAUGGGGCUGAGCGACGAGGAGGGCGCCGCCAUCAUGUCGAACCACUUCAUUAAUCUUCUCGCGUGGCAGAAGCUGCGCGAGCUUAACGGCCCCUUCCUGCACGCCGCUGUGUCUGGUGCGGAGCAAAAGGUGAGCGAGGGGGAGGCGGCAGGGAGCGCCGCCUUUUCGCCCUCCCCGGCUGCGCCACCCUCGUCUCGGAAGCGCAGUCGCGCUGUCCAGGGCGGCGACGAGAGAGACGUGUGGCUCCCGUCGCCACAUCCAUGGGCAACGGAGGCGGAGCUGGCAGCGUCGGACGGCUCUGGGCGAUUUGUGGCGGCGAGCGAGGCGAACGUAGAGAAGCAGGUAGAGCUGCUGCAAACUCUUGCUGAGCUCUACCAGCGGCCUUGGCGGACACUCGCUUCACGAGGUCAGCAGACCGACUUUGUGGUACCACCAGGAACGGUGAACGUCACUAGUCCGCUCGCGGACAAUAGCAAGGUGCCAGGGGCCCUUCUAGACCCUGCCACCGCCCUCGGGUGGGGGGCGACCCUCUCCUCAUCACCCAACACAGACUACUUUGGUAGCGUGCGUGUGGCGCACACCGCGUGCUUCUACGCAGUAGUGCUGUCCGCGGCAACGCCCGCUUCAGCCGGGAAGUCCGCUGCCCCCGCUCCCACGCGUCUGCCGCUGGAAGAACUUACCACCUACUUUGGGCGUGAGUCAGGGGUACGAGGAGCGGCUGCUGUUGCCGCGGCAGCGGCUACUCCCAUCGCCGGCGCCUUGGCUCCUUACACUACCCACCCAGAGGUGCUCUCCCGGUUUCAGUUCGCGCUGGUGCUGCGGCCGGUGUACGAGCACGCCGCGGAUGCCAAUGAGGUGAGGCGGCCCGACAGCAAUUUGCACUUGGGCAAACGAGAGCCAUCGAACGACGACGAGGCGUCCGACAGCGACGCGGACGCGCAUCAAGGGCACGCGGCGGUGCUGCACACAAAGCGACCGCACCACUACACGCUGUGGCUCGUCAACUACGGUCGCAAUGGUUUGCGCGUGGCUGGACGAGGCUGGGUGCUUGGCGAGCCGCGCCAGCUGCAAGCCGGCGACGUACUCAUCGUAGGAAGCGAAGUUCAGCUACGUGUGGAGGAGCACUUCUCUGCGGCCGCCGCUCGUGCGCCUGUCGUAAGCGACGCGACUCUCAACACCGCUUCUGUCAGCUCAUCGCAAGUGAAGCAGGAGCGGAUCGAAGAGGAGUAGCACACGAGUGUGGCCGUCACGAUGGUGUGUCGAUGAAGUCUACACAGCAUGACUUUUCGUUGGAUUUGGUUCGUUGUUGGAGUGUUGGGUUUGUGGUUUUCUUACUUUCCCUCUCAUGCGCGCCGCUGUUGGGACAUGGACUCGCCCGCUUUACUUCCUGCCGCUCGUAAGCAGACGGAGUUGUGCCUUUCGGUUGGUGUACUUCUGUCUUGUAUUUGUGGGGUUCUCUCCCUCUCCCUCCCUUUUGUGGUGUUGUGCUAUUCCUUCUGAUUUCCUUUUGUGUGUGCUUGUCCCCCUCGCUGUUGUCGUUCCGUUGUUCCUUGACAUCCUUCGAGGGCCACUAAAAACUCAUCGCUCGUAAGACGGUCGCGCAUGUCUAGGGAUAGAGAACGUGAAGCACACACAGAGAGAGAGAGAGAAAAGGAAAAUAUCGGUGGUCUACC
rnacentral:misc_RNA from 1 species